UUGGGUACAGCACCUCUUGUCGUUUUCAUGCUCAAAACGAUUUCGAUUUUGUGUCAAUGUUUAUGUUUUAGACAUUUUUAAGGUGAUGUUUCGAGGAGGCUUCCUGAAAAUGCAAAAUCCCUAGUGAACAUUUGUUGAAUAAGAGAUGUGACAAGGCAAUCAUGGUUUCAAAUAAAUUUGAAUAUUUUUGAAUCAGCUCUGGCGAGUCGAAGUGUUAGAUGCGAUGUAUCUUACCUGGGAGCCUAAAAAGACAUCCAAAAACUUGAUAUUGUCAAAGAAAAUCAUGUGGAUUGAAACACUACCUUAAAACAUCUCAGCCCCAUAAGGUCGACGCUUCACAACGAUGUUGGCAUUUGUUUUCGAGGAGGCAUCUCCCCCUUACCACGUGAAAGGUACCAUUCCACGUAAGACCAGAACAUAUUUAUUGACUGGAAGGAGCAAACUGACUGAUUGUUAUUAUUCAUGCACGACUCUACGAUUUAUAUUUCAGGUUAUUUUGGAACUUCAUCGAUCUGCCUGCGAAGCUUCGAAUUGAAUGAACUGUGUAGUGGCGCAUUAACAUUGAAUGGAAUGCUCAUAAGUAAUGUAUUUUUCCAAGGCGACACGCUCGUAUUGUUGCAUUGAAUGUGUUGUACAACAAGUCGCGGAUGAUAAAUAUGUGCAUGAUAUUUACGUCUUUAGGAGGAAUAUUGUUAUUUCCUGACUGAUUUGUCUUAUCGGAGGCUGCUUAAUUUGUUUCGACAAGUCCUUAAAAAUAAGGACGAAGAGAGAAUGAUUUCAA